UAGGGAAUCUUCCACAGUGGACGCAAGUCUGAUGGAGCAACGCCGCGUGAGUGAAGAAGGCUUUCGGGUCGUAAAACUCUGUUAUUGAAGAAGAACGUGUGUGACAGUAACUGGUCAUGCAGUGACGGUAUUCAAUCAGAAAAGUCACGGCUAACUACGUGCCAGCAGCCGCGGUAAUACGUAGGUGGCAAGCGUUGUCCGGAUUUAUUGGGCGUAAAGCGAGUGCAGGCGGUCUUUUAAGUCUGAUGUGAAAGCCUUCGGCUUAACCGAAGAAGGGCAUCGGAAACUGGGAGACUUGAGNGC
rnacentral:rRNA from 1 species